GCAGUGGGAGAGCUCUGUGGGUGGAGCUUCCUGAACUGGUCUGACCUGCAAUCAGCUCAUUUCCUUGGCAGCUUGAUCAUCUAGUUGAAUGCACAUCACACCAAGGCUGUAACCAUCCCACAUGAAGAAAAGAAAGCCUAUUAUUGAAGGGUGAGAACUACAUAAAGAUGAGCUAAAAGGAACAGGAACCUGUCACAUCGCUGAGUUGUCGCCCCCCCCCCCCCCCUUGGGGUUAGCAAGCAGCACAAGAUAGUUCUGACUUCACUGUAAAACCAGGAUUCUUUAAUCUUACCACUGCACAACUACAUAUCAGCUGCUUAGCAGGCUCGAAUUUUGAGCUAGUGAGAGAUUCCCCUUCAAUCUUCAGGACCACGUGCUCUGCUUUGUACCUCA